GAUUAGCGGCGGACGGGUGAGUAACACGUGAGUAACCUGCCUUAGACAUUGGGAUAGCCUCGGGAAACCGGGAUUAAUACCAAAUAAAAUCAUAAUGACACAUGUCAUAACGAUCAAAACUCCGGUGGUCUAAGAUGGACUCGCGUCCCAUUAGCUAGUUGGUAGAGUAAAAGCCUACCAAGGCGACGAUGGGUAGCCGGCCUGAGAGGGUGAACGGCCACAUUGGAACUGAGAAACGGUCCAA
rnacentral:rRNA from 1 species